UUUCAACUCUUUCUUUUUUUUUUUUUUUUUUAAAGUUCUAUAAAUACUAAAUUAAUAUGACGUUGUGAAAUGUAACUGGAUUUUGGAUCCCGCUAUUUAACCGUGGUCAUUAGCGAUUCCACAAAUCCAACAUGUUUUUCACAUCUUCAUGUAUAUUUAGCAUUUUUUUUUUUUUUGUUAUAAAAUUUUCAACUCUUUUUUUUUUUAAUUAUAA
rnacentral:sRNA from 1 species